rnacentral:rRNA from 1 species
GAUGAACGCUGGCGGCGUGCCUAAUACAUGCAAGUCGAGCGAACAGACCAGGAGUUUGCUCCUCUGACGUUAGCGGCGGACGGGACAGUAACACGUGGAUAACCUACCUCUAAGACUGGUAUAACUUUGGGAAACCGGAGCUAAUACCGGAUAAUAUAUUGAACUUCAUGGUUCAAUAGUGAAAGACGGUUUUGCUGUCACUAAUAGAUGGAUCCGCGCCGCAUUAGUUAGUUGGUAAGGUAACGGCUUACCCAGGCAGCGAUGCGUAGCCGACCUGAGAGGGUGAUCGGCCACCCUGGAAGUGAGACACGGUCCAGACUCCUACGGGGGGCAGCAGUAGGGAAUCUUCCGCGAGGGACGAGAGCCUGACGGAGCGACGCCGCGGGAGUGAUGAAGGUGUUCGGAUCGGAGAACUCUGUUGUUAGGAAGAAACAAAAGUGUUAGUAACUAGGCACGUCUUGACGGUACCUGGACAGAAAGCCACGGCUAACUACGUG